rnacentral:misc_RNA from 1 species
GAUGAAGAACGCAGCGAAAUGCGAUAAGUAAUGUGAAUUGCAGAAUUCAGUGAAUCAUCGAAUCUUUGAACGCACAUUGCGCCCGUUAGCAUUCUAGCGGGCAUGCCUGUCCGAGCGUCAUUUCAACCCUCAGGGUCCCCGUUCUGGCGGGGAACCUGGUGUUGGGGAUCGGCCCGCCCCGUGCGGCGCCGUCCCCCAAAUUCAGUGGCGGUCUCGCUGCAGCCUCCCCUGCGUAGUAGUUACAACCUCGCAUCGGAGCUCAGCGCGGCCACGCCGUAAAACCCCCGACUUUCUGAACGUUGACCUCGGAUCAGGUAGGAAUACCCGCUGAACUUAAGCAUAUCAAUAAGCGGAGGA